rnacentral:rRNA from 1 species
GACGAACGCUGGCGGCGUGCCUAACACAUGCAAGUCGAACGGUGAAAGCGGAGCUUGCUCCGCUGGAUCAGUGGCGAACGGGUGAGUAACACGUGGGCAACCUGCCCCUCACUUCGGGAUAACUCCGGGAAACCGGGGCUAAUACCGGAUAUGACCUCCUUGGGCAUCCUUGGAGGUGGAAAGUUUUUCGGUGAGGGAUGGGCCCGCGGCCUAUCAGCUUGUUGGUGAGGUAGUGGCUCACCAAGGCGACGACGGGUAGCCGGCCGGAGAGGGCGACCGGCCACACGGGGACUGAGACACGGCCCAGACUCCUACGGGAGGCAGCAGUGGGGAAUAUUGCGCAAUGGGCGAAAGCCUGACGCAGCAACGCCGCGUGCGGGAUGACGGCCUUCGGGUUGUAAACCGCUUUCAGCAGGGAAGAAGCCGCAAGGUGACGGUACCUGCAGAAGAAGCACCGGCUAACUACGUGCCAGCAGCCGCUGUAA